rnacentral:rRNA from 1 species
GUGAACGCUGGCGGCGUGCCUAACACAUGCAAGUCGAACGGAGAUUAUUCGCUGCAGAGAUUUCGGUCGAAGCUUGGAAUAAUCUUAGUGGCGGACGGGUGAGUAACGCGUGGGCAACCUGCCUCAUACUGGGGGAUAGCAGUUGGAAACGACUGAUAAUACCGCAUAAGCGCACGGUAUCGCAUGAUACAGUGUGAAAAAACUCCGGUGGUAUGAGAUGGGCCCGCGUCAGAUUAGCUAGUUGGUAAGGUAACGGCUUACCAAGGCGACGAUCUGUAGCCGGACUGAGAGGUCGGACGGCCACAUUGGGACUGAGACACGGCCCAAACUCCUACGGGAGGCAGCAGUGGGGGAUAUUGCACAAUGGAGGAAACUCUGAUGCAGCGACGCCGCGUGAAGUGAAGAAGUAUUUCGGUAUGUAAAGCUCUAUCAGCAGGGAAGAAAGGCCCGCAAGGGAGAUGACGGUACCUGACUAAGAAGCCCCGGCUAACUACGUGCCAGCAGCUGC